AUUGAACGCUGGCGGCAGGCCUAACACAUGCAAGUCGAGCGGAUGAAGGGAGCUUGCUCCUGGAUUCAGCGGCGGACGGGUGAGUAAUGCCUAGGAAUCUGCCUGGUAGUGGGGGAUAACGUCCGGAAACGGGCGCUAAUACCGCAUACGUCCUGAGGGAGAAAGUGGGGGAUCUUCGGACCUCACGCUAUCAGAUGAGCUUAGGUCGGAUUAGCUAGUUGGUGGGGUAAAGGCCUACCAAGGCGACGAUCCGUAACUGGUCUGAGAGGAUAAUCAGUCACACUGGAACUGAGACACGGUCCAGACUCCUACGGGAGGCAGCAGUGGGGAAUAUUGGACAAAGGGCGAAAGCCUGAUCCAGCCAUGCCGCGUGUGUGAAGAAGGUCUUCGGAUUGUAAAGCACUUUAAGUUGGGAGGAAGGGCAGUAAGUUAAUACCUUGCUGUUUUGACGUUACCAACAGAAUAAGCACCGGCUAACUUCGUG
rnacentral:rRNA from 1 species